rnacentral:lncRNA from 1 species
GUCAACCGUGGAGAUCCGGGAGUUAUAAGGUGCAGAUGACCGACAAAGUUCCACUGCAACACCGUAUCCUUUUGUGUUUGCUUUGCUAUUAAUAAUGUUAUUGCUCUCCUAGUUGGCAUUCUCGGGUAAGACUCCUCAUGAGCAUUAACCUCUGAGAUGAAGCAAUCCUUGUAAUGUCCUUCUAGUCGGACGAGCCACUAUUUGUUUGACUGAAAAUUUAUGAAAAUAUAUUUAUAUGGCCAUUCAUUCCAAAAGUACUAGUUCUACAUGUGUUUUCAAAGUAGCAAUUACCCGUGUCAUGAUUAUCACCUCAUGGUAACAUGCCAUUGUGUAAUCUAGAAUCAUGCAUACGCUAUGCAUAACUUACUUGACCUAUUUGAACUGUUAGAGCGUCUUGGAACCUCACUGGGCUGUGUAGCUCAUCCCACGUUGUGGUUUUCUUUUACAGGUUCUGACAACUGAGGAAGACUUGAGAUCUACUUGUACUUUAAGCAUGCAGUUUGAAUUAAACAAUGUAGCUUUUGUUUCGGGUUGCCACUUGAAGCUGGAAAAGUGUAACCCUUGAAUUUGUAUGUGGCUUGUAUGAAAUUUGUUACUUGGCUUAUAAGGAUGUAUUUGAAUUAUAUGUUUUGUUUCUAGGGUUGUAAUCGGGAAGGUAUUUUAAGAAUCGACGUUGGCUAUCUUAAGGCACUGUUAUCUCUGAAGUUAAUGUGAUUCUAGAAACCGGCCUAUUUGGAGGGAAACGAUGUUGUAAUAGAUUAGGUUAUACUUCGGAAGGACUUUUGCUAGUUGCUUGUGUGAGUCCUGGCGAGAGCUGGGCAGACGGCCCGCCAACCCUCUGGUUCGCCUUAGGGGGAAGUGGGGUCGCCACAGGUGGUAUCAGAGCUUAGGCUCUAGAUCUUUGUAGUGUAUCUUAGGCUUUAAGCAUAAGAUGCCGGACUGUGGAGUUUGAUUGUUUAGUAAGUAGAAUGUGAUCUUAAUACUUGAUGAUUGAUUGAGUAAUAUUGAAGUGUUUGUUUUUAAGGGGGUUUACACAAUAGGGUUUCUUUUAUUGUAAGAAACUGAAGAGAAUCGCGUGAGAUUUGAUUUGAAAAGUGAUAGUUGAGUUUUUGAACAUUGGUACUAGCUGAUAUCUAUAAGAUCGAAUUUGACUGGGUAAAUUGUAAGAUUCGAGGUAUCCUCUAGGCUUGUAAUCUUCGUAAGUAUAUAUAUGAAAUUGAAUGUGAAUCUUAGAUCGAUUGCUUGAUUGAGACAUUUUGUGAAAUUUUCUUUAAGGAAUGGUGGUGAUUGAGUUGAUUUGCAUCUGGAGAUGGCCAGUCCUAGUGCGAAUUGACUUGGUUCCCACUUGACGCUUAAGUGAGUCAGUUGUACAUAUUCCCUGAGUUUGAAAUGGUACUUGAGGCUUUAACUAGAAAUCCCAAGGUUGGUUAUUCUUGGAGAUGAACGCACUUUAGUUAUUGGUUGGCUUGUUAAAGAUUUUUAAACUUUGGAUAAAUGACCUCUGAUUUCAACUUGUAUUAUGACUUGAUUAGCUCUAAUUUCGUAAUGGUAUGCAACCUAAUUGAGACUAGUUUAACUUCUAUGUUAACUGUUAAUGUGCUAUUUGUGAAAAUGUUAUCUGUGGAUAUAGUUUUAUUGCUCAUUUUGAAAAUUGUUAAAAAUACGUGUGCAUAGAUAAUUUUUAGUUUAGUGAGCCAUUUGCACAUAAUUGUAGAGACUAGUUGUGAGAAUGGAAGCUGGGAGACGACGACGUGGACGUCAACCCAGACGACCUCAAAAUCAAGGAGGAGAUAAAGAACCUACCGCCGACCGAAACGCUGAACCUAGGGUUGGGGUAGAAAACCAAAUUGGGUUAGUUUUGACUCGCAUGAUAGACAUAAUAGAGCGAUUGGUACCCCAACAAGGCCAGGGAAUUGGACAAGUGAACCAACUUGGAAACCAAGAAAUAGGAGAGGAUAGGGCUUUAGAGAGAUUUCAAAAGUUUUUCCCUCCUAAAUUUUCUGGGGGUCCAAACCCCGAUAUAGCUGAGAAUUGGUUGGAAAAUAUAAGGAAUAUAUUUGAUGCACUAGAUUAUUCCGAGAAGAGAGAAGUAAAUUUCGCUGUAUUCCAACUUGAAGGACCGGCUCGAGCAUGGUGGAACGUUAUAAGAAAUAAGUGGGAAAGGGAACAAACUCCGAGAACUUGGAUGAAUUUUGUCCUAGAAUUUAAUGGGAAAUUUCUUCCACCACUAGUCCAAGAAAAGAGAGAAGAUGAUUUCAUAAAACUUCAUCAAGGAACUUUAAGUGUAGCUGAGUAUGAAACACGCUUUACAAAGUUAUCUACAUAUGCCCCAGAAUUGGUGGCUAAUGAAAGGAAGAGAAUAAGACGGUUUAUCCAAGGAUUAGAUUUGGAAAUCCAAGAUGCCCUUGCCGCAGCACAGGUUGAAACAUUUAGUGACGCUCUCGAAAAAGCGCAAAGGGUAGAAAUCACAAAAUCUCAACUGAGAGCUUUUCAAGCAAGGAAAAGGGACGCAUCUGACAGUACACUAGGAGAAAAUGGACCACCACCCAAAGUUAGAAAAGAAGUGGAUGGAGUAGGACUGUUACUUCCUGCACCACUCAGGAUAAAGGAACUAAAAGGAACUAUGUCGCGAGAGACUUCAGUAGGACAGGCACGAACAAAGAAAACCUCGCAAACAAGUCAGGUCACAACACCUCGUCCAAUUUGUGGAUAUUGUGGAAGGACGAAUCACCCUGAAGAAAACUGUUGGCUAAAGGGACGAAAGUGUAUGGGAUGUGGGAGUACUAGCCAUAAAGUUCAUGACUGUCCAAGGAGGUAUCCACGAGAAACCACUACUCAACAGGGAAAUGGAACUGUCCCUCGACAAGUCAAUGGAAGGAGGAACCGACCAGUGGCGUCUGAACGAACCCAUGACAUGAUCACACCACACGGUUCAAGGUUAUCCGAGAUUUCAGAAGGUAUGAAUUUCGAGGACGAAAUUCUCUUAAGGAGGGGAGGAUGUGAGAACCCUGAAAAAUAGACAUAUAAAUAUCAGUGCAUAUUUUAUUUGCAUUUUAAUUCUUUAAUAAAUUUUAGCACGAAGUCAAAUUGUUUCUAAAUAAGUAUGUAGAAUUAAAUGUUAUGUACAAAAUAAAAGAAUUGUGCUAAACUACUAAACUUCGUGGUUUUGUUACAUUAACUUCAUAUUUCGAUGGUAAACUAUUUCAUUGAUCUAAUCAUUAAUUUCUUCGAAUUCUAGAAUGGUAAUUAAUUGUUUUGAAAUAAAAGUGUAGAGAUAAUUUUUAAGUAAUAAAUAAUAUAAUUGUGCCAAUAUUGAAUUAUUCGGUUUUGCUAUAUUAAAUUAAUAUUUCUUGAGUUAGAUUAAUUUAUCGCCUUAAAAUAAAAUACUAAAAUACUUAGUUUCCUUAAUGUUGAGAAUUAAUGUUACCUGAGUAGAUUAAGUAUAUAAAAUUUCUUGAAUUUCUAUAACUAAUUCUAAAUUAGUGAAUAACGUUAAAUACUAAUAAGAAUGUUCACUAUGAGACAAAGCCUAUAAAUUUUAGAUAAACAUGAUACAAGUAUACUAAACAUAAUUAAGGUGUGAAAAAUUCGAUAAUUAAAGCCUUACAAGAUUAGCAUAUUACUAGGCGAUCAAAUUAUACUUGGGGAUAAAUUUUGGAAUUAAGUUAGAACUAAGGUCUUGAAUGGAGAUUAGGAAGAGAAGUGAAAAGACUAAAAUGCCCUUCACAAUCCACAAAAUCCCCACUACACCACAACCAUCACCAUGCACGGCCAAACACCCCUUCUGACAACAUUUCCAUCACCGCCCAAAUUGUCCAAUCCCAUUCUCUCCAAUUCCAUACGUAAACCAUCUCCACACUCAACCAAUUCCAACCACAAACACCUCUCAAAAACCACGGCACCCUCUUCAUUUCCUUUCCACUUCACAUCUCAAACCACAAUUGCAUUUCAUUCUGCCUUGCUAGUGUCGACAAACCGAGAGAGCGAGAGAGAGGCCGAGCUGCACUCUGCAGCCGAGUGGAAGAAAAGAAACCGCAGGAUUGAAUGUUUUUGGUUCUGGCCGUGAGUUGGAGUGAAACCAGGGAGAGCAAGUGGAAGUCGGAGGAGCUGCUGAUCAUCACCAUUUUCGUUCACUUCAGACCAACAUUUCCCAGCUGCAACCAUCUUCACCACAACACCAUUUCCAGCUGCAAAUCGAACCAGGACCAACCAGUGUGCGUGAGAGCCGGAGGGAGCAGAAAUUUUCCAGAUUUUCUUGCGUGAGCUUAGCUUGCUGUGAGGUAAUUUCUGGAUUCAUUUUAUGACUAAUCAGAGAUAGUUUGAGCUAUCUAGGGGCAUGCAUGUACUAGGGUACAGUCGGAUGAAUGAGAUUAAGCCAUUAGAAAAUUUCUGUUUUGGAUGUUGCUGUUUCUGCCGAGAAGUUGAGCCGAUAAUACAGUUUUAUUUUCAAUUUUCUGGGACAAUCUGAGCAUCUAAGUGUACUUAGCCGAAUGAAAACUUGAAGAUUAAUACCAUGAAUUAACCGAAGGAAAAGUUGGAUUUAUGACCAAUCUAAUUGCUGGAAAUCUGUUGAGUUGGCCGAGAGAGGGAAAGAAAGAAUUUCCAGUUUUUCUCUUCAAAUCUUGGCUGCAAAUUUCGUAUUGUAGUUCAAUAUACUCAUAACACAAUAAUCACCGUAUGCAUGCUGAGUUUGAGUGAACAAAGUAAUGAAUUUUGUUAGGGAAAGGUUCGUAUACCAAAUUAUCUAUUUGCUGCAAUUUUUCCAGCUUAGCCGAUGGUGGCUCUUUUGAGUUUUAAUGGAAACUUGGUGAGUGGGCUCUAUGAAUUCCCACAAUGACUUGGAUGAUCUGAUUAGCUAGUCAAGUAUUUGCUUGUCGGAUUUGAGUACUUAAUAUCAUGUAUUAGCCGAGUAAAAGUUGGUUUUAUGACCAAUUAGCUGCUGGAAAUUCUGUUUAGCCGAUGACAGAUUUAUUGUGGUGGAAUUAUUUGCCAAAAUUACAUGUUAUUUGUUUUAUUUCAUGUCGGAAAAUUUUGAUGGUGGGCUCUAUGAACUCCCACCCUUGGAUUGAUGAUGGAUAUAAUGCUAGUUUAGUGUUUAAAUAGAUAGAUUAAUGAUACCUAGCUAGUCUAGACUCCAAAAGAUGCAUCGUUCAAAAAUGUUCAGAUUUGCCCUGUUUUAAUCGCAACCCUUUUUGCAAAAUUUUGAGAGUUUCAUGACUUGUAUAUCAUGUUGAUAUGUUGAAUAUAUGGUGUACAAAGUUUCAUUGAAAAAUAUCGAGGUUUGGUUGGUCAAAUAAAUCGAUUUAACAAAGCUAGUAAAUCUGGAACUAUUUCCGAAAUGCUCUGACCAGCUUUCGUAUUUCGGCCAUAAUUUUGAACUCCGAUGUCGAAAUCGAGUGAUGUCAGCGGCAUUUGAAACUAGACAUUCCAACCUUUCCGACGAUAUAAAAUUCACAUUCUGGUUCCAUGUAUGUGAGCCAAACCAACUAUUUUAAGUCGGCUGUUCUGUUUCUCUGCUUUACAAGAACAAAAUGCUGAGGCUGCAACUUGUGACUCGAAUUCGAGCUAGUUGUGUGCCGAAUUUCAAAAUGAUUUCUUCUAUGAAAUUAUAGCUCUAUGAAUGUGUUUUCCAACGCCUUAAACCAUGCCAAAUUCCGAGUUAAUUUGAGUGAUCUGUGAUCAAAAUAUGAAACCUGCUCUGUCCUUGAAAACCCUGAUUUUUUAGACAGAUUUGAUGCAAGGUUUGGCAAAGACUUGCUAACUGAAUAUUUUGAUGCUAAACACUUACCAAAUGUACCAUGAACGUUCUUUAAGUUUUGCCUAAACAAAUGAACCAGGUUUGGAGGAAUUUUUCUUUGACCAAAUAUCUGAAAUGGAAAAACAAAAGGUUCAAGGCAGUUUUGUCUUAGUAUUUGCGAAAUUUUAGGUGUUUGAUUGACCACCUUUCCGAAGUUAUUUUUCCAUGAAAUUUGGUAGAGGAACAACCCUUAUAUGGUAGUGUUAUACUGCUAAUUAUGGUGUUAUUCCGAGACCGAUUCAUGGGUCAAAUAAAUUACCAAAGUUCGAGACUUGAUUUUUGGAAAACCCUUGUUGAACAAGAAAAUUUUAGUAACUUUGAGCUACCGUAUCUUGGUGCUCAAAACCCCGUUCCUCAUUCCGUUUGUUUUGUUAUACUCUUGAAUUACAACACUAAUAGAGUUGCAAAUUUCAAAAGCCAUUUCCAAACAAGUGAAUUUUGCCGAAUUUCCAAAGUUGGCCAAAAACCAACUUAAAACUGCCUUAUGAACCAAAACAGUAACUUUGAGCCCAUUUUGACUAUCUUCCAUUUAGAAUCAUGAAAAAGUGUAUUCUAGGAACUUUUAGUAUUUUGAAGGAAGUUUCCAACGGUACCAAGUUUUCCAAUCUUUGACAUGUAAAAGGUGAGCUAUGAUUUUUCAAAGUAUUGCAUCAAAACUGAAAUUUUCCGUAUUCCAAGGAAAUGGAGUUUUUUUCAAGUACUCCUUAUUCCUUCGAUAAUAUUCAAAUGUCUUAUCCUUGAAUUUCAUGAUGUAGACUUAAUUUCUCUUGUAUCUUGAAACCCCGCUUGAGAAUUUAGAUUUAGGAUAAUUAAGACUUGUUCACGAGAUUUUUCCUAAGUUUGUACUAUGACACGAUUUUCAGCAAUAGUAGGGAUUGUAUAUGAUAGACUAUUACUAUUCGUUCAGGCGCACGCGAGGACCUUUAAGAGGAUCCGACAGAGGACGCUUGAACUUCAAAUUGAACCUAUUGCCCUUGUUUGACUAGGUGAGUGUUCCAUAUAGGAAUAUAUAAUUGAGUAAGUCUAGGACAUGCUCAUUUCAUGAUCGUUAAGUAUUUACCAUACUCGUGCCUAUUUAAGAAAUAUAUAUAUGCAUUGCAUAUCGACAUGAAUUGGUUAAAUGAUUAACCCUAUCAAAUAAUCUUGUAAACUCAAUAUGUGCUUAGCCUGCUUAUUUUAUGCUUAUUCGGUUAAAGUGCUCUUGUAACUCGUUAUGUGACAAUUUGAAAAAUGAGUUCCGAUCCAUCGAAGUGCGCAGUGUGUACUUUAUCACACUAGCCGUUCGAGUGGUGAAAUGUGUGAAAUAUUUACUAAUGAAUCUGUGAAUCUAAAUGUGGUUGCGUCGUUGGGGUGAAUCUCCUCGACUCUUACGUGGUAAAAGUGCCAAACGGCCAAUGGCGGCCUAUUAAAAUGACAUAUGUCUACCAAUUAACCGUAAUUACCACCAUUUACCGUUUACCGUUUACCGUUUAUCGUUUACCGUUUACCGUGUUUACUUACCGUUUUCUAAUAUAUGUGGUUACUGAUUUCUUGAUUAUCAAAAAUUAUAUGCUCAUAUGAAGUUGUCCAUCAUUGUUAGGCGAGUGUGUACUUUACCUCCCUUGACCUAUUCAAAUGAUGAAUUUUACUUUUGUCGAAUUACUUUGUUACCUGUGCAUGUUGUAAGCUAUAAGCUGAACUUGGGCCCCGCCUCGGUUAUUGACCUACUCGAGCCAGCACUGGGCUCGGUCGGGUAGGUUGAAACCCUGGACAACCGUUUCGGUAUACUCGAGUAUUACCACUGGAGGGAUAAGGUGAUGGCCAGUCAACCGUGGAGAUCCGGGAGUUAUAAGGUGCAGAUGACCGACAAAGUUCCACUGCAACACCGUAUCCUUUUGUGUUUGCUUUGCUAUUAAUAAUGUUAUUGCUCUCCUAGUUGGCAUUCUCGGGUAAGACUCCUCAUGAGCAUUAACCUCUGAGAUGAAGCAAUCCUUGUAAUGUCCUUCUAGUCGGACGAGCCACUAUUUGUUUGACUGAAAAUUUAUGAAAAUAUAUUUAUAUGGCCAUUCAUUCCAAAAGUACU